AUGAACUGGACUUUGAGAGUCAUCUUGUUGGUUGCAGCAACUACAGGUGGCCAAUCCCAGGUCCAGCUGGUACAAUCUGGAGCUGAACUGAAGAAGCCUGGGUCAUCAGUGAAGAUCUCCUGCAAGACUUCUGGAUACACCUUCACUAGCUACUAUAUGCAUUGGGUGCGUCAGAUCCCUGGGCAUGGGUUUGAGUGGAUCGGAAGGAUUUAUCCAAGCAGUGGUAAUACACACUACGCACAGAAGUUCCAGGGCAGAGUCACCAUCACCAGUGAAAAGUCCACAAACACAGCCUACAUGGAUCUAAGCAGUCUGAGCUCUGAGGACACGGCCAUGUAUUACUGUGCGAGAGACACAUUGCUUUUCAGCAGUUACAUUUUUAGCCUCAGUAGUGCCUGGGCCUUGGCGGCGGGCCGUUUGGGCCUCAAGCGAGUGGCUUGA